rnacentral:siRNA from 1 species
AAACAAUUGACUGCUUUUUAGAAC